CUGUAUGAAGGUGUAUAGAGUCUAGCCUGCCCACUGAUAAAAAUUAAAGGGCCGCGGAUAUUUUGACCGUGCGAAGGUAGCAUAAUCAUUAGUCUUUUAAUUGAAGGCUUGUAUGAAUGGUUGAACGAAAAAUAGACUGUCUCUUAAUUAAGACUUGAAUUUAACAUUUGAGUGAAAAGGCUCAAAUAUUAUAAAAAGACGAUAAGACCCUAUAAAUCUUAACAUUGUUAUGCAAUUUUAAAUUAGCUGUGAGUUGAGUGUUUUUAAGAUUUCUUUGAUGUUUUGUUGGGGCAACAUAGAUAACAUAUUUAUCUGUCUAAAAAAAUUACAAAAUUUAUUUGAAUAGAGUUUACAAGAUCCUUUAUAGAGAUUUUAAGAUUAAGUUACUUUAGGGAUAACAGCGUUAUCUUAUUUGAGAGUUCAUAUCGAAAAUAAGGUUUGCGACCUCGAUGUUGAAUUAAAAUUUCUUUAUGGUGCAGCCGCUGUAAAAGAAAGUCUGUUCGACUUUUAAAAUUUUACAUGAUUU
rnacentral:rRNA from 1 species